GGGGGCGCAACUAUGUCAUGGCAUGUGUGUUGCAGUGUCGAGUGUGAAGUUGUUUGGAUGAGCCGUUCUAGAGAAAGCUGAAAGCAGGAAUACCACAGGCCAGGCAGUCGGCCUGAUCCAAACAGGCACGUUUUGAACUGGCACCGCACUCGUGUCUUAACUUGCAACUCAACAAGCAAGAUUGUUGUAUUAUUUCUC